UACAGGGUAGCUCAGUGGCAGAGCGGCCGGCUCUAUACCCGGCUGGACGUGGGUUCGAGCCCCACCCCUGUAC
rnacentral:tRNA from 1 species